GGAGAGAUGGCUCUGUGGUUAGG
rnacentral:piRNA from 1 species